rnacentral:lncRNA from 1 species
CUUACACACAGAAACACAAAUAUGUAAACCCGUGGCAUCCUUCUACAAAGAUUCGCCUAUUUUUUAAGUCAUUGGAAUGUGUUCUGUGAAAAAGAAGAAAGCUAAAUGAAUACCAAAGAAAAAAACAAACUGAAAUAAAUGAAUAAUUACGGCACAAAAGUUGUCGUCACUGUGGAAAUGGGACUAGAUGGCUCAGUCAGAAAAGGCUGUGCAACUUCCACCUGGUCCUCUUGAACUGCUCACUCUCUGGGGAGGCCAGUUGCCGUGGGAGAAGUCUGUACUCUGAGGCUGCCAUACUGGAGGAGGCGUGUGCAGGUGCUCGGUGAGGAGCUCCUGAGGACUGCCGGCCCUGUGAGUCCAGCCCGUAGAAGAGGCCAUCUCCAGUCAACAUCUAACUGGCACUGCAUGAGAGACCCCAACAGACAACUGCCCAGCUGAGCCCUUCCUGAAUUUCUGGCCCAGAAAGUUAUGAACCACAUACGACAUUUGUUGUUUUAUACUACUAAGCUUCACCAUAGUUUGUUACACAGUACUAGUAAUCAGAACAAUUACUAUAGAGCAAAAUAGAAUUUAUGGCAAAAAAAAUUUCAACACUGUAAAAUAAGAUAUUUCAUAAUAAACUGAGAAAGAGAAACAUGUUUUAGGUACAUAUUUAUGCAUCAAAAACAUAAGUCUUGAAUAUGCAAAUAAGGAAUGGAG